UACAGAGGUCUCAAGCGUUGUUCGGAUUCAUUGGGCGUAAAGGGUGCGUAGGUGGCGCUGUAAGUCGGGUGUGAAAUUUCGGAGCUUAACUCCGAAACUGCAUUCGAUACUGCGGUGCUUGAGGACUGGAGAGGAGACUGGAAUUCCUGGUGUAGCGGUGAAAUGCGCAGAUAUCAGGAGGAACACCGAUGGCGAAGGCAGGUCUCUGGGCCAUAACUGACGCUGAGAAGCGAAAGCAUGGGGAGCGAACAGG
rnacentral:rRNA from 1 species